CCUACGGGUGGCUGCAGUAGGGAAUAUUGGACAAUGGGCGAAAGCCUGAUCCAGCCAUGCCGCGUGAUAGAUGAAGGCCCUCUGGGUUGUAAAUAUCUUUUAUCUGGGAAGAAACAAUCUUAUUCUUAAGAUCUUGACGGUACCAGAGGAAUAAGCACCGGCUAACUCCGUGCCAGCAGCCGCGGUAAUACGGAGGGUGCAAGCGUUAUCCGGAUUCAGGGGGUGUAAAGGGGCUGUAGGGUCGGUGGUAAAAGCUCCGAGCUUAACUUGGAAACUGCCAUUGAUACUGCCAGUCUUGAAUGUCGUAGCGGUAAGCGGAAUGUUGCAUGUAGCGGUGAAAUGCUUAGAUAUGUUACAGAACACCAAUUGCGAAGGCAGCUUACUAUGCGAUGAUUGACGCUGAGGCACGAAAGCGUGGGGAGCAAACAGGAUUAGAUACCCUUGUAGUC
rnacentral:rRNA from 1 species